GAGCGUGUGCGGCGCUCGGGGAGAGGGAGAGGAGGGUGGGAGCGGUGGGCGGGGGAGCACAGCGCGGAUGAGGGCGGCCUCAGAGAGCAGCGAGCACCACCCACACC
rnacentral:SRP_RNA from 11 species